rnacentral:lncRNA from 1 species
GGACUAAAGGAAGACAUGAACAAAGUCAGGAAAACAAUGUAUGAAUAAAAUUAGACUAUCAUUAAAGAGAAAUUAUAAAAAGGAGCUGAGGCCAGGUGUGAUGGCUCAUGCCGGUAAUCCCAGCACUUUGGGAGGCCAAGGCUCGUGGAUCAUGAGGUCAGGAGUUCGAGACCAGCCUGGCCAACAUGGUGAAACCUCAUCUCUACUAAAAAUACAAGAACUAGCUGGGUGUGGUGGCAUGCCUGUGUUCCCAGCUACUCAGGAGGGUAAGGCAGGAGAAUCACUUGAACCCAGGAGGUGGAGGUUGCAGUGCACCCAGAUUGCACCACUGCACUCCAGCCUGGGUGACAGAGCGAGACUCUUAGAAAAAAAAGGAGCUGAAAUGAAAUUCUAGACCUGAAAGAUACAGUAACUGAAAUGAAAAAUUUACAUAGAGGGGUUCAAAAACAGAUUUGAAUGAGCAGAAGAAAGAACCAGCAAAUUUGAAUAUAUUUCUUUGUAAAAUACCCGCGGAACCCUGUUCCUUCGUUUUACCUCCUGCUUCCUUAGCUCAAGCCUUCCUCAUCUUAGGCAGCCUCCAAACUAUUCUAUCAACCUCCCCUUUUCCCUGCUCUAGUUUUACUAGAGUGAUCUUUAAAAAAACCCCAAAUCUAAUAUUGUCACUGUCCUUUAAAAUAUCCAAGGGCACCCGUGUGUCUAUAGAGUGAACUUCAGUUUCCUUAUUUUAGCAUUCAAGGACCUUCCUAUUUUGGCUCCAGCCUACUACAUUGCUUUAUUUCACACCAGCCCCACAUUCCAUUCAUAUACUGUAACCACAUUUUCUUGGGUACAAAGUCACUUACUGAAAAAAAGUUGAGCAUAUUUGGAAACCAAAAUUCAUUUUCUGUGAAUGGGAUAUCAAUAUAUAGCAUUGGUAGGCAUUGAAACAGACUAUAGUCUAUUUUUAAAAUGGAUUAGAUGAUAAAAACAACAUGUAUGUCAUCACUAAUCCAGUGGUCAAUAUUAGCAUAACUCUGUAAGAUACAAUAAAUGUUAUAUCUAUUGUAGAUACAAUGUUAUGUAUCUAACAUAAUAUCUAACAUGUUAGAUUCAUAACGUUGUAUGUAAUAUAAUGAAACAUGAAGUAUAACCUGUCACUUGUGAGGUAUACUAGUCUGAUAUGUUUGACUUGAAUCCACUGAGUCUUCAAAUAUAACUUUCUUGUUCAAGAAAUACAAGGCUUGCAGGAACAAGCUCAAUGACUUCAUGAGGAAGCAACCACUCAGAUAAAAACAUUUUGCACUUCAAGUGGCCUGAUUUCUACAGUGAACAAGAAUCUUUUAAUUUUUUUUUAAGUGCCAUAAUUAAAAAGUCAAGGGAUGUAACCAGAUGGAAUGUAUGGUCCUGAAUUGGAUAAUUUGGGUAUACUGGUUGUAGAAAAAUAUAAUUUGGUCAACAGAAUAUUUGAUUGUAGUUAGGUAUUAUGUGAGAGGAAAUUUUCCUGUAACAUUACUGAGUUAAGAAAGCCAACUGUAAAAAUAACUUUAGAUGGAUAGAAAAUGUGAAUGUGAUCUAGGAAUUAGGUGAGAAGAAAAUGUACUGAAAUAAGGUAGAUAUUUUUAAUUGAAAAAGGAGAUGACUAAAGUGAUCUCAUUUUGAAAAAAAAAAUACACACACACAGAAGGAUAUACUCUAAAGUAUUAACAUUGGCCCUGGGAAUGCCAUGGUUUUUUUUUGUUUUUCAUUAAAACAUAGAGACACGGUCUCACUAUGUUGCCCAGGCUGUUCGAGGGUGGAGUGUGAUAUGAUCGUCUGUGAAUAGCCACAGCACUGCAUCCUGGACAAGAUAGGGUCUCUUUAAAAAUAAGACUUAACUAGCACUUUAAUAAUCAUUGUUUUUGUUCCCAACUGCAUUGUACAUUCAUUGAGGACAGGGACUUUAAACUUCAUUAUAUUGCUGUUGCUGUGUUUCACCUUUGAAUGAUUUUUAAAUAAAAAUCUCAUCUUUGAGUCAC